AGAGUUUGAUCCUGGCUCAGGAUAAACGCUGGCGGCGUGCCUAACACAUGCAAGUCGAACGUCCUCUUCUCGCAAGGGAAGAGGGAGUGGCGGACGGGUGAGUAGCACAUGGGUACCUACCCCAAGGUGAGGAAUACCACCGAGAAAUCGGUGACAAUACCGCAUACGCUCAGCAAUGAGCAAAGCUCUUCUUCGGGAGGGCGCGCGUGGACGAGCCUGUGCCUGAUUAGUUAGUUGGUGGGGUAAGAGCCUACCAAGACUACGAUCAGUCGCUGGUCUGAGAGGAUGAUCAGCCACACUGGGAUUGAGAACGGCCCAGACUCCUACGGGGGGCAGCAGUGAGGAAUAUUCGGCAAUGGGGGCAACCCUGACCGAGCAACGCCGCGUGCAGGACGACGGCCUUCGGGUUGUAAACUGCUUUUCUGGGGGAUGAGCAAGGACAGUACCCCAGGAAGAAGCUCCGGCUAACUACGUGCCAGCAGCCGCGGUAAUACGUAGGGAGCGAGCGUUGUCCGGAGUUACUGGGCGUAAAGCGCACGCAGGCGGUCUUUUGCGUUCGUGCCGACAGCGACUCGCCUACCGAGUCGAGGAGUACGGAAACGGGAAGACUUGAGGGCCACAGAGGGACACGGAACUCCGGGUGGAGUGGUGAAAUGCGUAGAGAUCCGGAAGAACACCAAAGGCGAAGGCAGUGUCCUGGGUGGUACCUGACGCUCAGAGGCGACAGCUAGGGGAGCGAACGGGAUUAGAUACCCCGGUAGUCC
rnacentral:rRNA from 1 species